UACGGAGGGUGCAAGCGUUAUCCGGAAUCACUGGGUUUAAAGGGUGCGUAGGCGGCUCGAUAAGUCAGUCGUGAAAUUCCCCGGCUUAACCGGAGGGACUGCGAUUGAUACUGUUGAACUUGAAUCAGGUUGAGGUAGGCGGAAUGUGGCAUGUAGCGGUGAAAUGCUUAGAUAUGCCAUAGAACACCGAUUGCGAAGGCAGCUUGCUGGACCUGUAUUGACGCUGAGGCACGAAAGCGUGGGGAGCAAACAGG
rnacentral:rRNA from 1 species